GAUGAACGCUGGCGGCGUGCCUAAUACAUGCAAGUCGAGCGAACAGGCGAGGAGCUUGCUCCUCUGACGUUAGCGGCGGACGGGUGAGUAACGCGUGGAUAACCUACCUAUAAGACUGGGAUAACUUCGGGAAACCGGAGCUAAUACCGGAUAAUAUAUUGAACCGCAUGGUUCAAUAGUGAAAGACGGUUUUGCUGUCACUUAUAGAUGGAUCCGCGCCGCAUUAGCUAGUUGGUAAGGUAACGGCUUACCAAGGCAACGAUGCGUAGCCGACCUGAGAGGGUGAUCGGCCACACUGGAACUGAGACACGGUCCAGACUCCUACGGGAGGCAGCAGUAGGGAAUCUUCCGCAAUGGGCGAAAGCCUGACGGAGCAACGCCGCGUGAGUGGUGAAGGUCUUCGGAUCGUAAAACUCUGUUAUUAGGGAAGAACAAAUGUGUAAGUAACUAUGCACGUCUUGACGGUACCUAAUCAGAAAGCCACGGCUAACUACGUG
rnacentral:rRNA from 1 species